UCCACACGUGCUUCCCUGGGCAAAGCACGAGCAGACACGAGCGCAACAAAGACACCCACAGCUCAAAGGAUUGCAGCGCGGAUCCUACCGACUGCCAAGCGAACGGAAACACCAGCCUCUACGCUGUAAUCGCCCAGUCCUUCAGCACGGUCCGCAGCUCAUAGGAAGACAUGGUGCCAGACUUGUCCACAUCGAACCGGAGAAACAGGUUCUGGGCCAGGGAGUGGAGCAUUGAGAAGUCAGAGUCCAGGGACCAGUGACAGCUGGUAGCUGCCACGGAAUGACAGCUGCCUUCUAGGCAAGCACAGGCGAUGUGAACUGCUUCAGGCUCCUGCUGCCUUGGCUCCCCCACUCACAGGGAGUGCAUCAAGAGUUGUGGACUCUGCAGCUCCCACUCCUCACCGAGUAACUGCUCUCUUCUCAGAGAAGAUUCUCAGGCAGAAGUCAGCCUCCUGGUGUGGCUCAAAGGUGCUGGGGAUGAGGACAUAGUCUCCCGGGGGCAGCUGGAAGCGACCCGACACUUCUCUUAAGUUGAUGAAUGUCUUGCUUCGGGCCAGGGAGGCGUGGUACCUGAAAAAGUCCCUACUCAGGUGUCCAUCCUGGUCCUGGUCUGUGUCUGGGCACUGCAAGGGAAAGCAGAGGUCAUCAGGGAGACAUGACUCUGGUCUCCAUACUCAACUCAGCUGCAGAACUGGCUGUUUAUUGUGGCCCAGAGUUCAGAAGCAACAGGGAACUCACAGUCCUUGCAGGGACACUGAGAGCAGCUGGUCCCUACCUGGUAAAUGGCGUAGCCGAUGGUCAGCAUGUUGGCACCAAACCUCUUGAGCUUCCUGCGGUCUUUCUGCAUCAAGGCAGCUAAGAAAGUGCAGCCCUCCCGGCCCUCAUCCCUCUCGGUCAGGGACAGCUUUAUCUGUGGGUUGGUCCAGAAGGUGUCUGCAUUUGAAAGGGGGUGGAUUACUAUCCCUCCCUUAAAAAUGGAAAAUCAUAGCUCAGAUGACAAGAUGCUUGC